UGGGGAAUAUUGCACAAUGGAGGAAACUCUGAUGCAGCGACGCCGCGUGAAGGAAGAAGUAUCUCGGUAUGUAAACUUCUAUCAGCAGGGAAGAAAAUGACGGUACCUGACUAAGAAGCCCCGGCUAACUACGUGCCAGCAGCCGCGGUAAUACGUAGGGGGCAAGCGUUAUCCGGAUUUACUGGGUGUAAAGGGAGCGUAGACGGACGGGCAAGUCUGAUGUGAAAGCCCGGGGCUUAACCCCGGGACUGCAUUGGAAACUGUCCAUCUUGAGUGCCGGAGAGGUAAGCGGAAUUCCUACUGUAGCGGUGAAAUGCGUAGAUAUUAGGAGGAACACCAGUGGCGAAGGCGGCUUACUGGACGGUAACUGACGUUGAGGCUCGUAAGCGUCGGGAGCAAUCA
rnacentral:rRNA from 1 species